rnacentral:lncRNA from 1 species
GUUCUUGUGAGAUUUGAUUACUAUCUACAUCUCAUAGUAUUCAUCCAAUCUAGUAAGAUAAAAUUCUGAUUCUUGACACUAUGAACAAUCAUCUGCAAGGACGCGUGAUGUGAAAAAUUGUGUCAGAGUUUGAACCAAGGCAAGCUCUCCAACCACCGAUCUCAGGUAACUUUCUAACGACUUAUUAACUACUUCGGUUUGGCCUUUCGUCUGAGAAUAUGAUAAAGUUACCAUUUCUCGCACUAGAAUUAUUGAAGAUUCACGACUGGAGAUGACUGAAGAGCAGGGCUCAUCGGAGGAAGCAGUCAAUCGGAGUGGCAAAUCCGAUGGUCUUAUAACACCUACUGACCGAGCCACUAGUAUAAGAUUCAAACCAAGGAACCUAGCCGAUUUCAUAAUCAAUUAGGCUAGUUGGUUAUUGAUUUGGGGUGAACUGUUAUUGUUUGUUAAGUGUUCCUAGAGAACUAUUUAGUUAAUGUAUUCUAAGUUGUUGUAACCCUAUAAAAGGGAUAAAUGUGUAUUUCCUUUGGCAAUGAAUAAAAUUGCUUAAUUGCUUAAAACGAAUUCAGGGUUGUAACAACCCAAGUUUAGGAAAAUACACUGAUCCAUUGCUUGGAGAUCUUAGUCGUCGCAAUCUCCCCAACACUGACUCUAUUAGUGGUGCUUGGCGUGG